rnacentral:rRNA from 1 species
UGGGGAAUCUUGCACAAUGGGCGAAAGCCUGAUGCAGCAACGCCGCGUGCGGGAAGAAGGCCCUCGGGUUGUAAACCGCUUUCAGAAGGAACGAAACUGACGGUACUUUCAGAAGAAGGUGCGGCCAACUACGUGCCAGCAGCCGCGGUGACACGUAGGCACCAAGCGUUGUCCGGAUUUAUUGGGCGUAAAGAGCUCGUAGGCGGUUCAGUAAGUCGGGUGUGAAAACUUUGGGCUUAACCCAAAGCGUGCAUCCGAUACUGCUGUGACUUGAGUACGGUAGGGGAGCGGGGAAUUCCUAGUGUAGCGGUGAAAUGCGCAGAUAUUAGGAGGAACACCGGUGGCGAAGGCGCCGCUCUGGGCCGAAACUGACGCUGAGGAGCGAAAGCAUGGGUAGCAAACA